rnacentral:rRNA from 1 species
UACGAAGGGGGCUAGCGUUGCUCGGAAUCACUGGGCGUAAAGGGCGCGUAGGCGGCUUGGUCAGUCCCGUGUGAAAUCCCUCGGCUCAACUGAGGAACUGCACGGGAAACUGCCUGGCUUGAGUUCGGGAGAGGGAAGCGGAAUUCCGGGUGUAGCGGUGAAAUGCGUAGAUACCCGGAGGAACACCGGUGGCGAAGGCGGCUUCCUGGACCGACACUGACGCUGAGGCGCGAAAGCGUGGGGAGCGAACAGG